UCCUGCACGUUCAGUUUUGUUUACACGGAACAGCUGCGUCAGCGUAACUACGCCCCUUUCGAAAUCAAACCUAAGUCGAUCGACUUGAGAGAGAGCUUGCUAACCAUAGUCCGUGCAAAUUGGGUGCGUUCAGACAAAGCCCUUCCUUCCCAGUGCCCCCCACUCAGCACCACCCCAGUUUUCACGGUAGACGGGGCUGCAGUGGGAGCGGUAGGAUUUACCCCUACAUGAGGAGCGCUUUAAAGUCACUCUAAGGGGGGAGGGGAGAGCUCUCUCCCUCCAAAUGCAAGCGAUCCGGCAGCUCUUGCCCCGUGUGUGUGUGAGCACGGCAAGGAGGACGCCAGGCAGACAUGCACAACCCCCUCGGGCACGUUUCCAUUGCUCUAAGGACAAGUGACAGCCACACACCCAGCCUGCAGAGGCGCGCCGCUCUCGGCGUUAAACGCGCGCAACGCCUAGAAAUGACGCUCUCUUCUGCUCGCCACUGAGCUGUAAAGUGCUCGCUACGGGCUGUCCUACCUUUCGGAGGCUGUGGUGCUGAGCCAGUAACUUCAUCAAGACUUAUUUUUUGGCAUCAUCCUAGCAAACUGGAGAUGCAAAGCCAGUGACCUCAGUCUUUGAAUGGCAGAUUUAGUUAUACAGCUAAAUAGCACCACUCCUCCUCCUGACUUGCCUACCUUUGGACUCUAUAUUCUGUUUACAGCUAAAUUGACUCUUCUCAGUUUUUGAUAGCUCUAUUUAUAAAAAAGAACAAGAAUAACUGAGAAGUCCAGAAAGCAGCAGUGCAAGUUUCUGAAAAUGAUCUGACAAUGUGUCUGAACCCUGAAGUAGAAAGAUCCAGUCCACGAAGGAGACAAUUCUUGUCCUGUGAGCUGAGACCUCAGACUUUAUGGAUCCACUGAGCUUUGAUUUGUAUUCUCAUAACAUGCUGUCAGAAAAGCUAACUAAAUACUCAUACAAAAAGAUGUAUCUUUGGAAUGCUAUAAACAUUUCUUUGUGCUUAAAGAACAAGUUGACAGUUCCAAAAAAUGUUGAGAUGAAAAUUAUUCUGUGAAUAUACAGAAAAGGUUUGAAAAAUUAACAUUUAAAAAACCCUAGAUGAAUUGGAUUUUAAGCUAGUUUAAUUGCAUUUUAUGUAUAGUCUUUCCCAUUCAUAUAUGGAACUAAUCUAAUAUGAAACGCAGCAUCAAGCAGAAAGUUAUUUAAGCUUAUCAAAUUGAUUAUAUAAUUAUAUAAUUGAUUAUAGUACAUAAUUAACACAUUCACAUUGUUUUCUUUGUUUAUUUAUACUUUGUGAUUAGUUGUUAUAAGGUUAUCUGGGCUGCAAUCCUUUAAAGUCUUACUCCCAUGUUGAACUUUAAGCAUGUGAGUAAGUCCCAUUGAGUUAAUUGGGACUAUUUCCAUACUCAAAAUUAUGCAUGUGUAUAAGUCAUCACAGGACUGGAGCCUUAAUUUUGUGUAUUUUAAAUAUUUGUACAAUUCUUAUAAUCAGCAUUUUUAAAAAAAAAUUAAUUCAUCCAUUAAUUAUAUAUAAAUGUAUUGUGUUAAGUUGGUUGAAAUGCAUAACGCUUUAAUGUAAUAAUAAUCCUAAAUUUUAAAAGAAAGUAUGCUAAAGAAAUAUUCUUAGUUAGAACUGUAUGAUGUAGGAUGUUAACUUGAGGUUAACUGAUGAAAAAACCCAUGGAUAGUCUUGUAUGAACACAAGUCAGAUGAUAGAUCAGCAAAGUUUUCUGUAUGAAUAUAGGCCAGAGGUUCUCAAACUAUGGUGGUCCGCAAGCUCCAUUCAGGUGGUCUUUGGAUAGUUCCCCCUAAUGUGCAUGCCUGGGCAGUCGCACGAGAGAAUGAAGAGCCACCCACCUAAUUAUUGGAGCUGCGCAGGUGAAGAUGCUGGAUGCUGGAGAAGAUACACAUUUAAGGUGAA